UCUGGCCCCACAACCUCAUCUCUCUCAUCCUUGGCACUGAGUAGAAGAGGCAGGACUCCUAUAGUGGGGAGUACGGCGGAGGUGGUCCAGAGUCUGGGUAAUGCAAAUGCCCAUUCGGCGACCCCAUGCGCACCCCCCCCCAACCCUGAGCGCCUGGCAUCCCGCAGGGGCGCAACCCCAGCCCCACGCCCUGCUCUCCAGCCAACUCUGCCGCCCAAGCGGAUACACCUCCGCCUUUUGCGCUCAACUUACCGUGGCUGGGCUCAGCUUUAGGCAUCCCCAAGAGCUUUUCUCUCCUUCCUCCCGCUGAGCUCUUCAUCCUCCUGCUGCUCGCCGCCCGGCGCCCUGGCCCUGGCAUCCGGGAGGAGCAGCCUCCGGGGCUGUCUGUCCCGGGGACGCACGGCUGCCUGCCGGUAGCUUCGGCGGCGAUGGUCGCGGCCAGCCGUGAGCAGCGGCCGCGGAGAAUGGUGCCCGUUGCUCCGCGCGAGCUGUCCCUGGGGCGCGGGCUGGAGGUGGCAGUCAGCGCGCCUCUGCCUCCGCCGCGCUCGCGGCGCUCCGCACGCGUCCCGAGCCCGCGCCAGCCCCAGGUGCACCGGGUGGAGAAGAGAUUGGAAACAGAGGAACAAUAGAGAACUACAAGAUCCCAG
rnacentral:lncRNA from 1 species